rnacentral:lncRNA from 13 species
UGUGUAUGCAUAUAUGUUUAUAUAAUUCUGAAAUAUUCUCUUAGCAGAUAUUUACUUAUGCUGGGGAUAUAAUCACAAAAGAAUCAGACAUUAUAGAGCUUACAUACUUAAAUGGAGAGAAAAGGAGCCUAAUAAAUGAAAAGUUAUGUAAGCUAUUAGAAGGAGCUAAGUGUUCUGGGGAAGUUAAGCAGGGAGAGGAAGAAGGAAAGGCAGAGUGAGAGAGGAUUAGUUUUGAAUAGAAUGAUUAUGAAAGGCAGCACUAAGAAGGUAACGUCUGAGCAAUGACCUGAAGGAACAAACCAUGUAAAUACCCAGGGCAAAAAUCAUUCCAGGCAGCAGGAACUACAGGCGCAAAUGUCCUGGGGCAGAAACACAUCUGGAGACCUUAUUUUGUUCCCAUAUCAUCAUGAUGCCUAAGAACAUGUAUCUACCGAGAACCACCUAGAGGAUAAAACAGCACAGCCCACAGGCACUCCUCAGACAGUUGGAAAGUGAAGUAAAUGAACUCUGCAGUGGUGUCUUCCAGCUCUCACUUCCAACUCUCCUGUGUUUGUAGUCUCCAUGUUCCCAAACAAGGGAAAAUACAGCCACAAUCUCCAAAGGACAAGUCCUCUCCUUCUCUGGAAGAAAUGGUGCCAGGUAUGAGGCAGACCACUGCUGAAGCUCCAGAGAAGAUUCAAUAG